rnacentral:tRNA from 1 species
GGUCGGAUAGCAAAGUGGUAAUGCCGUAGCCUGCAAAGCUUCCAUGCGUCGGUUCGAUUCCGUCUCCGACCUCCA